UCCCAGUUAACCUGGGCAGUCUCAUUAGAGUCCCCACCUCGCGUGUUGGCAACUAAUGAUAAGGGUUGCGCUCGUUGCGGGACUUAACCCAACACCUCACGGCACGAGCUGACGACAGCCAUGCAGCACCUGUUCAGAGACCCUUGCGGGAAAUAACAUCUCUGUUAUCGUCCUCUAAAUUUCAAACCUGGGUAAGGUUCUUCGCGUUGCAUCGAAUUAAACCACAUGCUCCACUGCUUGUGCGGGCCCCCGUCAAUUCUUUUGAGUUUCACCCUUGCGAGCGUACUCCUCAGGCGGUAUACUUAUCGCGUUAGCUUCGACACCAUCAGGGUUGAGCCCAAUGACAUCAAGUAUACAUCGUUUACGGCAAGGACUAC
rnacentral:misc_RNA from 1 species